rnacentral:misc_RNA from 1 species
CAUAAUCAACACCCAUCAACCAUUUGCUCCUAUGUACCGCUGGAUUUUUAACAGAAAAAAUGGACCCAGUUCAAAACUGGGUGCCAAGAUGACAGUAUAAGAAAUAACUAGCAAUCUUUGCCAAAAGAGAAUCUGACCCAGUUCAAGUUUCACCCAGGCAGCACACGAAAAAUAACGCAGCGAGCAAGCUGCAGCCACCCUCCAAAAGCACAAGCAAAGAAUCUUGCGUGGC